UCCAUCUCCACUGCACCGGAAUUUCCUCCGGCGGAGGUGAAGCUCAUAUCAUCCACCUAAACACAUCACCAGAAUCAGAUUUCCACCCUCAACCUCUAAAAUAACUCAAUUCCAUCAAAUUCUCAACCAUCAAUUCAGAAUUCAUGACUAGAAUGAAGAACCAUAUGAUUUCUAUUCAAAAUUAAAUGAAAAUUGUUCAUGGAUUCAUAAUCAAGGUUUGGGGAUAAUGAUCCCUAGGGUGUAAGCUACACAAUGGUAACAUGACGUUGAAGAAACAAGAAGAAAAGAGUUACCUACAAAGUGGUGAUUUGCUCUGGCGAAGUGUUGAAUCGGAGAAGAAGCUUGCAAUGAGGAAAAUCACUUGAAUCCGGUUGGUAACAAUGGGUAGAGUUGUUGCAAGAUUACAUGAGACUCUAAUCUUGCCCUGCAGAAUUUGCUGAAUCGAUGUCAUGCAAACUUGCCGGUGGACUUACUGCAGGACUGCAUCAUGGUCGCAAAAGAUUGAUGAUGAUGAUCCAAGUUGCCAGGUAAGGCCGCAACAUAUGUCAUGGUAUUGUGAAGUUGAUGUUUUAUUCCUGCAGGGUUACUCUGUUACAACAGGAUCUGUGUGAUGAUGGUAUGAUGUAACAAGCCUUGUUCAUUGGUUAUUGCUGCAAUACAUGUUGUGGCUAUGAAGAAUGGAUGUUGAUACUAAGGUUGCAUCAUGAGGCCAUGACUGAAUGUGGAUGUGAAGUGAUGAUAUAUCAAGGUUGUUAGAUCUUUUGGAUGGAAAUGUAGGAUUUCUGUUUGAUGUAGAAAGACUCGUGGCAUGGCAAGGUUUAUGGUAUGAUGACCUGGUGCACUGCCAAUGUUUGUGAGCUGCCAUGGACUGGUUUAACAUGGUAUGAUGUCAUAUGGUUGCAAGGCCUUUGGUUUGUGCAAGGCAAGGCAAAGUGACCAUGUUCAAAGGCAUGGCCAAGGCAAACUUACAAUACAUGGAAUUCUUGUUUGUGAAGAAAGUGUGACAAUGGAAGAUCAAGAAGUCAAUGCAUGAAUGAAAUGUGAUUAGUGUUAGGACUUUAGGGUGAAAAAUGUAAUGGUUGACUUUAGUUAACUGGUUGACCAAAAAGUCAAUAGUUGACAAAAAAUCAACUUUUGCAAAAAUGUAAUUUUUUAGAUUUCUUUUUGUAAUGGACUAUAUAUACCUUUAUGAAUGAAUG